rnacentral:pre_miRNA from 12 species
AUCAACCAAAGGAGAGGAGUAACCCACGGCAGCUGCUGGACACUGCACAAGAUUAGCGAUUAAAACUCUUGUGCGUGUGACAGCGGCUAUUGUAGUUGCUCGCCGCGACGACAUCACCAU